UACAGAGGUCUCAAGCGUUGUUCGGAUUCAUUGGGCGUAAAGGGUGCGUAGGCGGCGCGGUAAGUCGGGUGUGAAAUCUUGGAGCUUAACUCCGAAACUGCAUUCGAUACUGCCGUGCUUGAGGACUGGAGAGGAGACUGGAAUUUACGGUGUAGCGGUGAAAUGCGUAGAUAUCUGGAGGAAUACCGGUGGCGAAGGCGGCAUCCUGGACCGGCAUUGACGCUGAGGAGCGAAAGCUAGGGGAGCAAACGGGG
rnacentral:rRNA from 1 species